GUCAAGAAACAGUCUCAGAAAGGUGCUAUUUCUGCGAUUACUCUCCAAUAACUUCUGUAUAGAAAUCUCGGUGUCUCAGAGUGUGUUUCCCAGUGAACUCCACCUGUGACAGCUGGUACUGGAUGUGGUCCUAGGAACUGACUCUAAAAUAGGAUGUUGUUGCUGCACCUGGCUGGCUGUAAUAAGGCCCCCAUCACUGGUAGAGCGCUAGCCCCCAUCAUAGGUGAAGCGCUAGUUGCCCCAGGCAUCCAUGCCAGUGCCAGUGUUCACAUGUUUACAGGUGGCAAACUGGGACACGAAACUGGUAGAAGGGGAUAGGCUGGCAAGUGACACAUAUAGGAGGUUGAGAGUUUCAGGGGAAAUUAAGUAAAUACAAGAAUUUUGGAAUUAGAUGACUGUUGUUGGAGGCUAUGCAUGCAUUGGAGAAAGACAAUGACUGCCUCGGUUGGUUACUUAACCAUGUGAGGGGAAGUAUGAAGCCAGAACUUGGCUGUAUAUAAAUAGAAUCUCAUCUCCGGUUGCCUAAGGGCCGUACAGCUAAGGACUUAUAUGAAUAGCAAAGUUCCAGAAAUUGUUGAAUUCUUAAUUCUCAACUCCAGCCAGUUCUGCUAUAUGUAGGUCAGGGUGCUGAUUUGGAAGCAGUAAGAUUCUGAGACUUUGGAUGGGGACACUUGGUCCAAGCACUAAAAAAUCUUGAAUCAUCAGGUCCCGCUGGACCUGUGGGCCUGCAGAAGUGACCCACUCCUCUCUGGUAAAGGCUAGAGCCUCUGGCUUAUUUGAAGGUCAUAUGGAGGAUCCUGUCUUGCAAGAAAACCCUAGUUUGUUUGGGAUGGACUGUAGAAUUGCGUAGGCGAAUAAAGAGUACCACUCUGGUUUGAUGUGGGGUGGAGUGCUGAGGGGGUUUGCUGGGGUGUAGUUGUGAGGGUCUCCUAGGAGGUCAGCAGAAUUGAUAAGAGCAAGAGAAGUAGAAUUAAUAUCUUUAAUUGUGUAAUAAGAAUAAUAUAUUUAAUUGUGUAAUAAAGAAUAUCUUUAAUUGUGUAAUAAAUUGUGUAAUAUAUUUAAUUGUGUAAUAAAGAAUAUCUUUAAUUGUGUAAUAAGGGUGAAAAGGGAUUUUGUCAGAAUCUGAUGAAAUUCCUGAGGGGUUAAUAGAUCCCUUUUCAUGUAGGAAUAACAGGUGAAUGGCUACUAGGGCUGUAAUAAUGAAAGGCAAGAUUAAAUGAAAAGUGAAGAAUUAUGUGAAAGUGGCUUUAUCCAAUGAGAAUCCACCUCAGAUUCACUGUACAAGGUCAGUUCCAAUAUAUGGGAUGGCUAACAGUAGAUUUGUAAUUACUGUUGCAUCUCAGAAUGAUAUUUGGCUUCAUGAAAGUACGGAGCCUAUUAAUACUGUUGCUAUAACUGCAAAUAGAAGAAUACUGCCAAUAUUCCAAGUUUCUAGGAAAGUAAAUGACCCGUAGUAUAAGCCUCGGCCUACAUGUAAAAACAGGCAGAUGCAGACUAUCGAAGCCUCAUUAGCAUGUAGCAUAAUUAUAAUUCAGCAAUAAUUUACAUCUCAGCAGAAGUGAGUGACUGAAGAGAAGGCGGUCAGAGUAUCUGACAUGUAGUGUAUAGCUAAGAAAACCCUGUGAUGAUUUGAAGGACCAGGCAGAUACCUAGAAGCAAGCUGAGAUUUUACCAU
rnacentral:lncRNA from 1 species